UACCAUAAAUUAGUGUUAUUAGUGUUAUUUGUCUCUUUAUGUAUUAAUAGCAUGUGUUCAUUAAAUAUGAACAAUAAUUUGUUGAGCAAUAAAAAGUCUCUUCCAUAUAAACCACGAUAUAAACAACAUCCACGUGACACACACGUAGUCAAUGUUCCAUUCGGCGAUAGGUGGCGAUAAUUCACUGAUAUACGAUCCGCCGUGAAACAAGAAGAAGACGUCACCCCUAGCGUCAUCAGUCAGCGUUGGGUCUCUUGAGGUAAGACAAUAAGACCAUCAGUUCUUGGUACUUCAUAUAUUUAUACAAGUAUAAAACAAAGUUUGUUAAAAGCAACUUUUUAUGCAGUCAUUCUGUAUUGUUUUCAUCAGGUACAGCGCUAUUUGUGCGUCUUUCAGGCGUCUGCUGACUGAAAUAAACGUUUAGCCUAGCAGACAACGAUUUUUUAGCCCCUAUCACACAGCAAUUCACCCACAGUUCACCAAUAAAUGCUGGAAUGUUCCCAUUAGUCUAAAAGUGAAGAAGAUAAAGUGUGUGAAAGAAAAUAAACAUGAAUGAUCCAGAGCCCUGCGGAAUAAAACAGGAAGAUAUUGAACAACAAAUAGAUCCUGUCCUAGCACACAGCAAUUCACCUUCAGUUAAUCUCUUCCCACAUCAAUUCACCUGGAGUGAAGCUCCUCCCACAGCAGAUCGCCUGGAGUGGAGCUCCUCCCACAGCAGAUCACCUGGAGUGGAGCUCCUCCCACAGCAGAUCACCUGGAGUGGAGCUCCUCCCACAGCAGAUCACCUGGAGUGGAGCUCCUCCCACAGCAGAUCAUCCUCCCACAGCAGAUCGCCUUGAGUGAAGCUCCACCCACAGCAGAUCACCUGGAGUGAAGCUCCUCCCACAUCAACUUGCCUGGAGUGAAGCUCCUCCCACAGCAGAUUGCUUGGAGUGAAGCUCCACCCACAGCAGAUCACCUGGAGUGAAGCUCCUCCCACAUCAAUUCGCCUGGAGUGAAGCUCCUCCCACAGAAGAUCGCCUGGAGUGAAGCUCCACCCACAGCAGAUCGCCUGGAGUGAAGCUCCUCCCACACAGAUCACCUGGAGUGAAGCUCCACCCACCAGCAGAUCACCUGGAGUGAAGCUCCUCCCACAUCAAUUCACCUGGAGUGAAGCUCCUCCCACAGCAGAUCACCAGUAAAUGCUGGAAUAUUCCCAUCAGCCUACAAGUGAAGAAAAUAGAGUUCAUGAAAGAACAUGAGUGAUCCAGAAGCCUGCUGAAUGGAGCACGAAGAUGCUGAAGAACAAAGAAGUUUGUGUUUAUUCCUGAAUCUUUAUUAAAGACAACUUUGGGAACAUUAAGGUCAUAAUAUUUUAAUCAGAUUUAGUCAUUAUAAAAGUAAUAUGAGCUGUUAAAUAGUUGAAGCAGCAAAUAAUAUAUGGAACCCAGUCAUGAACUGGGUACAUACUGGAGCCUGAAUUAAAAUAUUUUAUUGUUUGUUUUAAAAAUAUUAGCGAUUUAAGAAAAAAAUCAUACUGAUAUUUAUUACCAGAGCUGUUUUAUUUACAUUCAUUUUAUACUGGUUCUAGUUAAUUUUUUUUUUUUUUUUUUUUGCAACUGUGUUACUAAACUUUGUCCAUUUUAACUGUUUCUAUCAAUACACAAAAUGUAUUAAACUUGGGUUGUAAACAGGAUUGCUACAUUUUAUCAUAAAUUGGGCAAAUUCUUAAACUUUGUCCAUUUAACUGUUUUCUAUCAAUACACAAAAUGUAUUAAACUUGGGUUGUAAACAGGAUUGCACAUUUUAUCAUAAAUUGGGCAAAUUCUAAUAUACUGAAAUAAAUUAAAUUUCUCUUGAAUUAUGGAAGCUAAUCUGAAUUAUUUAGAAAUUAUUUUCUUACAAUAACUUCGGUUACAGCAUUGAUGAAUGCAGCCAACACUGCAAUUUGUAUAAAAAUGUAGUAGUUCUCACUACAUGUGACUUGUGUUUAUAACUUUUAAAAUUUAUAUUUGGAAGAUCAUACAUGGAAAAUUGCAUGGAAAUAUAAUUGAUUUAUUGAUAAACAAACCAUAAUCGCGACUGAUCGCGAUGAUUUAAAAAAAUAGAUUCCAGUGUAAUUUCAAUAAUAGUGUAUAAAAGGCUCCUAGGGAAGGGUAGACGUUUUAUGAGGGGCUUUUAUUUUGAUACUUUGAAGAGUGCAGUUUCCGGUGCAUCCAGUUGGAGUUAUUAUUGUUAUUGUGUGUUGCUGCCUGCUGUUUCUUCCCACCGUUCCUGGAAUUCGGAUGCUCGUUGGUGUUCAAAAUGUAAGUGCAUGACCAUACAGUAAGUUUUCUUCGAUUUCUAUAUGUUUCCAACCAUGUUUGAAGUGUAUUAUUUAACUUUGUACGUUUGUAAUGAAAUGCACGGACAUGUAACGAUUCACGUGUGUUCGAUUAAUCAAGAUGUGCGACGCAAUUAAUGAUAAAUAGUUUUAGAGUUUAUCUUGUAAUAGGUCUGUCAUCUGCAGAAAUGUUAACCAGCUGUAUUGCCCCUUUGAUGGUGUUAUUUGGGAAAUUGCAUUGUUUGUGAAUGCACAUGGAUAGUGUGAUCAGACUAAUAGUUAUAUUGUCUUCAGUUGCACAUCCUCUGCAUAUUUAGAGCCAGAGCAUUUCCACUCUAUCAAAUAGUCUUCAAUACACAUCUGAUUUUAUCCCGAUUUUCAUUUUAGAUGUAAACCAACUGUGCUGUACUUACAUGACCAAUACUAAUGGAGCACAUGCACAGAAAGUGCCUUGGAAAAAAGAGAAUUCUUAGCUUAAAAUGCUUUUAAUAACUCUUUAUAACAAGCACACCCCACAAUAAAGUUCAUUUUACAACAAUCAUUUUAUGUUGACGGAUUUGGCUAUUUUGGAGGUUACAUUUGGGCUUUUAGGGAGGGACUAAAGUGCACAUUUUUAAAGGAGAGGAAAGGAACAUGAGCACGAUUAAAAACAAAAGUCAAAAUGAGAAACGGAACCAACACAAUAAUAUUUUUCCCUCUUGAUUAUCGCUUUUUUAUAAUCGUCAUAAGUCAAAAAGUGAAAUCGGAGAUCAAUUUCCAUUAAUCGCACAGCCCUAAAUUCUAAAUGAAUUAUUAUAUCACAUUGCAGUUGUCUGCUGCUACAUUUAUGCUCACGUUUAUGUCCAUCAAUUUGAAAUUUUUCUCUUUGAUACUUCUUUUACUGCAAAUUACUCCCCUGUGAACAAACAUACUGAGUACAAGUCUUUUGAAAAAUUGAAGGAUGGAAUUUAUUUUGUUGAUUAACCUCUAGAGUGACAAAAGUUACACAUCUUUUUACUUUCAUUUCAGACCUCAUGGAAGAUAAUUUGGAGAGGGAAGACAUGAGUGAAUCGGAGGAGAACCAUCGUCAAGUCCAAACUGGAGAAAAAUCUUUUCCUUCCUCACAAACUGAAAGUCCUUUUUGCUGACAAGAAGUGCACAAAUAUAUUUCACCUGCCCUCAGUGCGGAAGAUGUUUCCUACACAAACAAGGUCUUAAACUUCAUAUAAGAGUUCACACCGGAGAGAAACCAUACACAUGUGAUCAGUGUGACAAGAGUUUCACACGAAAAGGAAACCUUAAUGAUCACAUGAAAAUCCACACCGGAGAGAAGCCGUAUGCAUGUGAUCAUUGUGGGAAGAGGUUUUUCACUAAAACAAACCUUAAGGUUCACAUCAGAAUCCACACUGGAGAGAAACCACACGUUUGUGUUCAGUGCGGGAAGAGCUAUGAUGUGAUCAGUGUGGGAAGAGUUUCACGCAUA
rnacentral:lncRNA from 1 species